rnacentral:misc_RNA from 1 species
UAGUAUAUUUCAGGAAGUGCCAUGAUUAGUUUAUUUCCAAUACAAUAUACUUUUUUCCUUUUAACAAGCAAUAAAAUAAUUUUGCUUGAUAAUAUUUAACUUACGAAAAAUAUACUUUAAAAAGUUACAUUAAAAUACUUUUAAAAAACUUUAAAAAGUCUUUUUCUCCAAGGAAAGUAGUUUGAAUUGAAUGUGUGAGAAUCUUCCUCAAUAAAUGUAUUUCAUUUAUUUAAAUAGCUUUUUUACAAUCUUUAAAAAUAUUAUUAAAAAAUAUACAUCUAUCAAUAUUUUUAUUUUAGGAACUAAUUGUAGAAUUUUUCAAUCUAAAAACUGGAAAUUAUUGUAUUGGAGUUGAACCACUUCAUGAAAAAUGCUAUGGAGAGAGUUGUAUAAAACGCAUUGGAGGUUUUGUUAAAAUAGAGAAAAAUAUGGAUCCAUUGAUCAUUAAAUCAAAAGAAGAAAUGUUUAUUAAUCCAUAUUUUGCUUUUCUAAUAAUUAUUCCUGUAAUGUGCACUUUCAUAGUAUGGAUUUUAAAUAAUCAUUUGAGAAAAGUACAUUAUAUUUGUUCUUCACAUCACAGAAACAAUGAGGCAAUUGAAACUGAAAUUGAAUCUUCAAGCAAAAAAGUAGAAGUUCUUCUUUUGUUUUGUCAAGACUGUGUAGAAUAUGGCAGAAAAUUGAAAGAUCUUUUUGAGAACUGUUUCAAAGUUAAAAAAGUAAAUUCUGUGUUAAAUUUGGAAGAUGAAGUCCAAAUUUUACAAAAAGGAACUGAAUGGAUCUCCCAUCAUCUAGAAGAGUACCUAGAAAUAUUUAAAAAAUCUGAAACAAUAAAAAAAGUCAUUAUUAUAGAGUCAGAAAAAAGUGUCUAUUAUCAGAAAUUGAGAAUGAACAAUCAGAUGGAAUUCCAAAAAGAGCAAAAUAUCAUCAUCUGAGCUUUCCUGUUGACCUUAAUCUCAAUUAUCAGCAACAUCUUGGUAUUUUUCUACAUUUUCAUAAAAUCUUAGGCAAAUACAUCUUCUCUGCACCAAUAUGAUAUUCUGUUUAUACAUGCAAUAUCAAAUAUCACCUCUAAUCUAUCUACAAGUUUAUUGGAUUACUUACAUCUCCUUGUUGUUCAUUUUAAAGAUGCUUCAAAACUGCAAA